UAGCCAGUCAGAAGCAGAGUAUGAGGGCUUAUCCUGACAGUACCUAGGUAGGACUACUAGCCAGUCAGAAGCAGAGUAUGAGGGCCCUGACAGUACCAGGUAAGGACUACUAGCCAGUCAGAAGCAGAGUAUGACCGCACUGACAGUACCUAGGUAAGGACUACUAGCCAGUCAGAAGCAGAGUAUGAGGGCCCUGACAGUACCUAGGUAAGGACUACUAGCCAGUCAGAAGCAGAGUAUGAGGGCCCUGACAGUACCUAGGUAAGGACUACUAGCCAGU